rnacentral:tRNA from 1 species
GUCGCUGUGGCUGAGUGGUAAAGCGCCUGGCUUACGAACCGGGAGUCCCGGGUUCCUAUCCUGGUGAAGUCC